rnacentral:rRNA from 1 species
UACGGGGGGAGCAAGCGUUGUUCGGAUUUACUGGGCGUAAAGGGCGCGUAGGCGGCGCGACAAGUCACUUGUGAAAUCUCCGGGCUUAACCCGGAGCGGCCAAGUGAUACUGUAGUGCUAGAGUGCGGAAGGGGCUACUGGAAUUCUCGGUGUAGCGGUGAAAUGCGUAGAUAUCGAGAGGAACACCUGCGGCGAAGGCGGGUUGCUGGGCUGAUACUGACGCUGAGGCGCGAAAGCUAGGGGAGCGAACGGG